rnacentral:rRNA from 1 species
UACGGGGGGGGCAAGCGUUGUUCGGAAUUACUGGGCGUAAAGGGCGCGUAGGCGGCCUUCUAAGUCGAACGUGAAAUCCCCGGGCUCAACCCGGGAACUGCGUCCGAUACUGGAAGGCUUGAAUCCGGGAGAGGGAUGCGGAAUUCCAGGUGUAGCGGUGAAAUGCGUAGAUAUCUGGAGGAACACCGGUGGCGAAGGCGGCAUCCUGGACCGGCAUUGGCGCUGAGGCGCGAAAGUGUGGGGAGCGAACAGG